rnacentral:lncRNA from 1 species
CUCUCUCUCUCUCUCUCUCUCUCUCUGUGUGUGUGUGUUUGUGUGUUCGUGUGUGCGGGCCUGUUUCCUUCUGGAUCCCUCCCGAUAUCUGUCUAACUUUAAGAAGAUUUUGAUAAUACAUAAGACAUAGAAAACCAGCUUCAUCACUGUUGAGCUAAUUAAGUGGUGCUUGCUGUUCCAAGAAAAGAAAAAUAAUAGUUUAAGAAGAUUUUGAUAAUAUAUAAGACAUAGAAAAUCAGCUACAUCACUGUUGGACUAAUUAAAUGGUGCUUCACUGCUACAAAAUAAGACUACGAUAGUAAUUGAAAAUCACUACCGUAGCUCAAAAAAUCUAUAUCACAGCCUAUGACAGUGAUCAGACAACCGUUGUCACUGUGGCCAUCACCGUAGACCUAUGACAACGAUUUUUUGAAAUACAGCAGCGAUUGUGUCAAUCACUACCAUAGAAAGAUAUGGCAGCGGUUUUGUAACUGCUGCUAUAUCAACCGCUGCCAUAGAGGCUAUGAGAGUGAUUAGAUCUAUGACAGUGGUUGUCCAAUCGCUACCGUACACCUAUAGCAGCAGUUAUUCAACCGUAGCUAUGGCAGCGGUUGGUACCGCUACCGUAAUCUUUCAUCGGUCAAAAAAGCCGGUAGAUGACAGAUGGUGGUCGACCAGUGGGAGGGGGC